UGCCAGCCGCCGCGGUAAUACCGGCAGCCCAAGUGAUGGCCGCUGUUAUUGGGCCUAAAGCGUCCGUAGCUGGCCGCACAAGUCCGUCGGGAAAUCCGCCCGCUCAACGGGCGGCCGUCCGGCGGAACCUGUGUGGCUUGGGACCGGGAGGCCUGAGGGGUACGAUCGGGGUAGGAGUGAAAUCCCGUAAUCCUGGACGGACCACCGAUGGGGAAACCACGUCAAGAGACCGGACCCGACGGUGAGGGACGAAAGCCAGGGUCUCGAACCGGAUUAGAAACCCGGGAGUCC
rnacentral:rRNA from 1 species